rnacentral:sRNA from 1 species
GGCCGUGCAGCGGACAAGGUGACACAUCUGUUACCCCAUUGAUCACCAGGGUCGAUUUGGUUGAUAUGGAUGGUGAGGCAAGUGUUCUUUCAUCCUUACUGCUCUCUGUAUGUCCCUCCCAAAGCUGUGCACUCAGUGGAAGAAGUCAACCAUCCCAGACAGACGUAUACUUGAUUGACUAUGCUCCCCAGUGUCUCACUACAUUCUUUAACAAUAGAUUCUCUGCUGAGUGGAAGUUGAGCGAAAGUUAAAUAGACAGAUGGACACAGGCUCUUUCUGU